GACGAACGCUGGCGGCGUGCCUAAUACAUGCAAGUAGAACGCACAGUUUAUACCGUAGCUUGCUACACCAUAAACUGUGAGUUGCGAACGGGUGAGUAACGCGUAGGUAACCUGCCUGGUAGCGGGGGGUAACUAUUGGAAACGAUAGCUAAUACCGCAUAAUAUUAAUUAUUGCAUGAUAAUUGAUUGAAAGAUGCAAUUGCCUCACUACUAGAUGGACCUGCGUUGUAUUAGCUAGUAGGUGAGGUAACGGCUCACCUAGGCGACGAUACAUAGCCGACCGGAGAGGGUGAUCAGCCGGACUGGGACUGAGACACGGCCCAGACUCCUACGGGAGGCAGCAGUAGGGAAUCGUCGGCAAUGGGCGAAAGUCUGACCGAGCAAGGCCGCGUGAGUGAGGAGGGAUUUCGGAUCGGAAAGGUCUGUUGUAAGGGAAGAACGGGUGUGAGAGUGGAAAGUUCACACUGUGACGGUAUCUUACCAGAAAGGGACGGCUAACUACGUG
rnacentral:rRNA from 1 species